rnacentral:rRNA from 1 species
GUCCACGCCGUAAACGAUGAUAACUAGCUGUCCGGGCACUUGGUGCCUGGGUGGCGCAGCUAACGCAUUAAGUUAUCCGCCUGGGGAGUACGGUCGCAAGAUUAAAACUCAAAGGAAUUGACGGGGGCCUGCACAAGCGGUGGAGCAUGUGGUUUAAUUCGAAGCAACGCGCAGAACCUUACCAGCGUUUGACAUGGUUAGUAUGGUUUCCAGAGAUGGAUUCCUUCAGUUCGGCUGGCUAACACACAGGUGCUGCAUGGCUGUCGU